GCUUAACACAUGCAAGUCGAACGGAAAGGCCCUGCUUUUGUGGGGUGCUCGAGUGGCGAACGGGUGAGUAACACGUGAGUAACCUGCCCUUGACUUUGGGAUAACUUCAGGAAACUGGGGCUAAUACCGGAUAGGAGCUCCUGCUGCAUGGUGGGGGUUGGAAAGUUUCGGCGGUUGGGGAUGGACUCGCGGCUUAUCAGCUUGUUGGUGGGGUAGUGGCUUACCAAGGCUUUGACGGGUAGCCGGCCUGAGAGGGUGACCGGCCACAUUGGGACUGAGAUACGGCCCAGACUCCUACGGGAGGCAGCAGUGGGGAAUAUUGCACAAUGGGCGGAAGCCUGAUGCAGCAACGCCGCGUGCGGGAUGACGGCCUUCGGGUUGUAAACCGCUUUCGCCUGUGACGAAGCGUGAGUGACGGUAAUGGGUAAAGAAGCACCGGCUAACUACGUGCCAGCAGCCGCGGUGAUACGUAGGGUGCGAGCGUUGUCCGGAUUUAUUGGGCGUAAAGGGCUCGUAGGUGGUUGAUCGCGUCGGAAGUGUAAUCUUGGGGCUUAACCCUGAGCGUGCUUUCGAUACGGGUUGACUUGAGGAAGGUAGGGGAGAAUGGAAUUCCUGGUGGAGCGGUGGAAUGCGCAGAUAUCAGGAGGAACACCAGUGGCGAAGGCGGUUCUCUGGGCCUUUCCUGACGCUGAGGAGCGAAAGCGUGGGGAGCGAACAGGCUUAGAUACCCUGGUAGUCCACGCUGUAAACGGUGGGUACUAGGUGUGGGGUCCAUUCCACGGGUUCCGUGCCGUAGCUAACGCUUUAAGUACCCCGCCUGGGGAGUACGGCCGCAAGGCU
rnacentral:rRNA from 1 species